CAGCAAAGACUGUGCUGACUGUCAAUGUGGAAUAAAACUGCAUAUUAUUCUUAUUUUGCUGGAAUAUCUAUCGGAGCAACGCAAAGGCUUUUCUUAAGAAAUUACAGAACUACACAACCAUCUACGUACGUACGUACAUCAAUGAGAUACAAAGGCCUGAAAUCCACCACUGAAACUGAGAAUCGGUCAGAAGCGUAAAUGUCUGGUUGAUACAUGUAUUGUCAAAACUUUCUUCGAGCUGUUUGUGGUGCCUGUAGUUGAUUCAUUAUGGUAGAAAAUUUGGAACCUUGGUGUUUUCCACUGAGAAAGCGUGUUAAACUGACCGUAAAAUCGAUUUACUUGGCACAUGCUUUCACUAAGACGGAAGAUGACAUGGUUUACUAUACGUACAAUAUUGUCAUGGGAAAUUUUUGAUGUGAAUUAUCUUGGCAAUGUAAUACUACCCCAAUGUAUUGUGUAAUAUUUUCUUACACUAAACAUGAAGAACUCUAUGUAUGAUUAAAGAAGUGGGCUAUUGUGUGCUUCAUCAUGCAGAAUGAAUAAAAUUUGUACCAGACGAUUAAUGUAAAGUUGUAUAGGGUUGUUUGAUUGCAAGUCAAACCUCAAUUGCGUCCAGUUUUUGAAAAAGAACAAGUUGUAAGCCAUGUAAAUCAGAAAAGCUACAUAGAAGGUAUGUAAUUCUCAUUACAAAAUAAACAACUGAAAGCAUUAAAUAAUUUUAUGAUAAACGUAUCCUGAGUAACCUCAAUAGUGAUAAAAAUACUCAGGCAAGCCUUAAAAUAGAAAAUGGCGAAUCUCACACCGAAAUCAAUUUUGUUGUGCAGUUCGCAAAGAACAAAACAAAAUUUUACUGCUGAUGUUCGAUAUAUUUGCUAGAGAAUUUUGUGAUAAUUUUGCAUACAACAAAAUUACAUAUGUCGUAUAUAAAUUUACCAAUCUGCCAAGUUUAUUGAAUCAAAUUCUUGUGUAUUCCUAACAGCAGCCAAAUCAAACUUAAUUUUCUCUAAUAAACGUUGAGCUCUUAUAUUAUGAGCAGGAAAUCUUUCAUCUAACAUCGUUCGUAUAUAUGACAUCCACCAUGGACAUUUGAAGUCUAUCUGUAAUAAAUUUUGUCAAUUGUGAAAGAGCGUUUUUAUAAUGGAUUUGAUCUGCAUGAAGAAAAUGAAGGAAAGUUUGGAUAGCAAGAUGUUGAUAGAUGUGUUAAAAAAAGCAGGAGUGUCAGAUCGACUUUUGAAAUCAAAGAAAACGUUGGUUUAGAAGGCAAUGAUAACGAAAGUGAGACAGCAUAGUUAUGGACUUACAAGAUGGAUGGUUGACAUGUCAUGAGAGAUAUAUUGGAGUUUAAAGUAAAGAUUAAUAUGAAGCAAGAUUCACCAAAGAAGAUAUGGAACUAGAAAGUUGAGAUGCUGUUGCUUGUUUUGAAGAAAAAGAAUCGAGGAAAAUAACAACGUAGUUGUCACUCUCACACUGAUAAACCCACGCAGAUCAGAUGCAAUUCAUUCAAAUACAAUAAUCAUUUCUAUCACAGUAUAAGCGUAUGUUUAAGCAUGUCUACACAAAAAAUCAUGAAACAAGUCAAACCUUUUGUUUCAAUUCAUCAUGAGCUUUCCAAGCAUUACUUGCAUCAUUUUCAGCGUUUGUAACUUGAUACGAUCUCUUCAUCAAAUAUUUCUCUUUGAUCUCGAACGCCUGAUAAAUAUUUAUUAACACAAAUUAAAUGAAAAGCUAAAAAUCAA